rnacentral:rRNA from 1 species
UACGUAGGGUGCAAGCCGUUGUCCGGAAUUAUUGGGCGUAAAGAGCUCGUAGGCGGUCUGUCGCGUCAUGCUGUGGAAAACCUCAGGGCUUAACCCUGAGCUUGCAGUGGGUACGGGCAGACUAGAGUGGCGGUAGGGGAGACUGGAAUUCCUGGUGAUAGCGGUGAAAUGCGCAGAGUAUCAGGAGGAACACCGGUGGCGAAGGCUGGAUCUCUGGGCCGAUUAACUGACG